rnacentral:rRNA from 1 species
GGAAUAUUGGGCAAUGGACGCAAGUCUGACCCAGCGACGCCGCGUGAGGGAUGAAGGCCUUCGGGUUGUAAACCUCUUUCAGUAGGGAAGAAGCGAAAGUGACGGUACCUAAAGAAGAAGCACCGGCUAACUAUGUGCCAGCAGCCGCGGUAAUACAUAGGGUGCAAGCGUUGUCCGGAAUUAUUGGGCGUAAAGAGCUCGUAGGUCGUUUGACACGUCGGAUGUGAAAAUCUGAGGCUUAACCUCAGACCUGCAUUCGAUACGGUCAAACUAGAGUGUGGUAGGGGAGACUGGAAUUCCUGGUGUAGCGGUGGAAUGCGCAGAUAUCAGGAGGAACACCAAUGGCGAAGGCAGGUCUCUGGGCCAUUACUGACACUGAGGAGCGAAAGCGCGGGGAGCGAACAGGAUUAGAUACCCUGGUAGUCCGCGCCGUAAACGGUGGGCACUAGUUGUGGGAACCUUCCACGGUUUCCGCGACGCAGCUAACGCAUUAAGUGCCCCGCCUGGGGAGUACGAUCGCAAGAUUAAAACUCAAAGGAAUUGACGGA